AUGAGAGCUGAGGGAAUGAUGGCACAGAAGGCUAAAUCUUCACCAUCCCCCUGGAAAGGACCUCUAUCAAGCACGCUCGUGUCUGAAUUACAUCUCAGCCCUAGGGAAGAUGGUUUCUUCAGUUCCCCUUCAAGCCCUCCAUUCAUGUGCUGUAGCGGGAUGAACUCAGAAAGCCCUUGCGCUCCCAGGUCUGCCUUCCUCAUUUCCUUCCACACAUUUCCAGCUGCCCUUGCCCAAAGCUGGCCAGGCACAGCCACAAAGCCCAAACCAAGCCCACAAGUGGACAGGAGCCUUCCCAGCUGCUGGAUGAUUCCUCGCCAGGACAGCAUGGGCACGAGUUUCAGUACAGCCUCACUUAUUCCUACCUGGGAUCUGCAUGGAGUCAGCACAGCCUGGGGUCAUGUCAGCAAAGCCUGAACAACUGUCUUGGGUACCCAAAGAGGCAGAGGAAUACUUUCAAAGACGUUGUUCAUGUUACCCAUGUCGUGUGUUGCUGUAGGUGGCACCAUCAUAUGUUCUAGACAUUCAGGUUUGCUGUUCCCUGCAUGUAGCAGCUGAAAUUAGACCCCUGGUAGUGGCGUAGCCCUACUGCAGCAGCUCUCAUCUGUACAGUCACGUUUGCCAUUCCAGCCACGGUGAAGUGUUCUCUCACUGGCUCACCAGGGCUUCAGCACACCCACUUCUUUCCUAAGAUUUGGCUAAAGAUCAGAGCAGCUCGGUUAUAAUAGCAUUUGGCAGUAAGUCUACCAAGCAACCUGGCCUGAACAGCUGAAAGGAGAGCAGCAAAGCAAAGUACUAGAAAAGAGACUCGGUAUUCCAGAAGGAAAUUUUUGGGCAUCCCUUACAACCAGCAUAUCCUCGAAUUUCUAUUUCUGCCUCAUUCGUCUCUGUGUAACACUUUUGUUUUCAAUCCUCCUUCCCUCUUUUCUUACAAUUAGCAAGGGAGAGGGGUGAAUUGUGAAGUCAGAUUACAAGCACCUGCCUCAGCCUGUGUGUGUGCAUGCAGACACAUAGGCAUGGGAGAGCAACCAUUGCCAAAGAGAAGAGCUGGAAACAGACUAGUGAAAAAGAAAUAAAGCUGAGGAUAGUGAGUUACA
rnacentral:lncRNA from 1 species